rnacentral:rRNA from 1 species
CAUCACUACGCUAGAUGCAUAUCAAUAAGCGGAGGAAAAGAAACUAACAAGGAUUCCCUUAGUAACGGCGAGUGAAGCGGGAAGAGCUCAAAUUUGAAAUCUUCAAGGUUCUACCUUGACGAAUUGUAGUUUAAAGAAGUGUUUUCUGUUGGAGUUUUGGUAAAAGUUCUUUGGAAUAGGACAUCAUAGAGGGUGAGAAUCCCGUAUUUGAUCAUUAUUUUCUAGCUUUGUGAUACACUUUCAAAGAGUCGGAUUGUUUGGGAAUGCAGUCCAAAAUGGGUGGUAAAUUUCAUCUAAAGCUAAAUAUUGGCGAGAGACCGAUAGCGAACAAGUACCGUGAGGGAAAGAUGAAAAGAACUUUGAAAAGAGAGUUAAACAGUACGUGAAAUUGUCAAAAGGGAAGCGUUUGACACCAGUGUUGUUUUUCCGAAAAUCAAUUACGAAUGUUUUGUUUUUGAGAAGUUAUGACUUCAUCGGCUUGCUUCUCUCUUUACGAAACUUUCUUAAUGCACUUUUCGGUUAACAAGUCAACAUCAAUUUCUUUUGUUGUAAAAGGGUAAGAGGAAGGUGGCUUACGCUUCGGCGUAAGUGUUUAUAGCCUUUUACCUCUGCAAUCGGAGAGAUUGAGGACAGCAGCGUAGACUCUUCGGGGUUAGAUACACUUGUGCUAAGCUAUAGCCUUGUAUAGACAACUUGUUGACUAUGCUCAGUCAUGUAGCUUACUCGCUUGUGCUAUUUUACCUACGCUUAGGAUGUUGAAGAUAUGCGCGACACG